UACAGAGGUGCCGAGCGUUAGGCGGAAUCACUGGGCUUAAAGCGCGUGUAGGUGGAUCGUUAAGUGUCUUGUGAAAUCCCUCGGCUCAACCGAGGAAGUGCAUUCGAAACUAUCUAGCUUGAGGAUGGCAGAGGAAGGUGGAAUUCCUAGUGUAGAGGUGAAAUUCGUAGAUAUUAGGAGGAAUACCGGUGGCGAAGGCGGCCUUCUGGACCAUUCCUGACACUGAGACGCGAAAGCGUGGGUAGCAAACAGG
rnacentral:rRNA from 1 species